GGUUAUGUAGUGUAGGGGUUAUCACUCCGGAUUUUGAGCAAUCGAAAGUUUCCGGCAACCCCGGUUCGAUCCCGGGCAUGACCU